rnacentral:lncRNA from 1 species
CCCCACUCUGCCCGCCAGAGAACAACUCCCCUUCGACUGUAAUUUUCCUUUAUUUACCCAAAUCCUAUAAAACGGCCCCACCCUUAUCUCCCUUCCCUGACUCUCUUUUCGGACUCAGCCCACCUGCACCCAAGUGAUUAAAAGCUUUUAUUGCUCACACAAAGCCUGUUUGGUGGUCUCCUCACAUGGACACGCAUGAAAUUUGGUGCCAUGACUCGGAUCAGGGGACCUCCCUUGGGAGAUCAAUCCCCUGUCCUCCUGUUCUUUGCUCCAUGAAAAAGAUCCACCUACGACCUCAGGUCCUCAGACCCACCAGCCCAAGGAACAUUUCACCAAUUUUAAAUCGGAACAACUUCUCAAGAGAGUGCUCACUUGGAAGAAAUUCAUUCCUGGACUUAUCUGAGUACCCAGAAUGAUUACUAGCAGCUGACUGGGCAAAAAUCAAAAGGGAUGCAGUACUGAGAAGUCUGACAAGAAGAAAAACAAGUCAGCCAAACUCCACCUCAAACCAGUUUUGUGAAAAAAUAUAUAAAUUGCCAGAUCACUAAACCAAGUACUUGCUUUAAUUAGUGUUAGAAUCCAUGCCUAUUCAAUGCAUAAAAAUAACUAUAGUUUUACAGUAACAAAUGACCUAAUACAUUUUGGUGUACGUAUAAUUGUACACAUUCUCAGAGAAUUUGAAAUGUGAAAAUUAUGCUAUCUUUGUUAGGAGAGACACUACAUUUAUUAUUUUAGAUGCUUACAUGCACAUGUAUAAAUGAUUUCAAAAUAAAUGUGUGAUUAGUAUAAUAUGGAAAACAGAUAAAAUACUCAGAUAAUUUUUAGCACAUCAAGAGAACUACUUUUGUGUUUAUUAAUGAAUGAGCCACUUAGGUCAUGGAAAAUUUCAGCUGGGUCUUGAGGAGGGAACUAAUUGUAAUGGAGAAAACUCAGUGCCACUAGUUAGCACCAGGCCUCCAUGUAAAACAAUUGGGAUGUUUCAAACAGUUUCCUUCAUGCUGCAGAUUGACAGUUUGUCAAUAAUUAUUUUCCAUAAGCAGAUGACACCUUAAUCGCCAAACCAUAGAAAGCUUUUUGUUUUUCUUAGCCAUCUUCCAAUGAGAACUCCCAUGCUAGUAAGAAUAUAUUAAUAUUUCCUACUGAAUUACAUCAGGUUCUCCUCUUUAACUACGGCACAUGGAAACAAAUUUCUCAGCUGAAAAUGAGUAUGUAAUUACCGUUACAACCAUCCCCCAGAAAAUUUUAGAUAGGAAUCCAGUGAACUCUUACUUAAUCUGCAUUCCUUUCACAUCCAACACAAUGGUAGUUCCUAACAUAAAAUAUGCAAUAUAGUUGCUGAGUGCUAUUUUCCUGAUAAAGUCUAAUUAAAGUGACUCCUUUGGUCUCCCAACUUUGUGUGAGAAAUAUAUGAGCCUACUUAUCCUUGAAUAAUAAUUAAGUGAUGCACUAUAAUAAUCCUACUACUCAGAAGUAAUGUAAUCAGGAUAAGUAAGAAAAAUUUCUUUUCUUAUAGCUGUAGGAUUGAUGGCAAUGUGCUUCUUCAAAGCUAGCAAGGGAUAGAGAGAGGGACCCCAGUAGGACUGUUGCUAUACUUUUAUGUAUCACAUACAAGUAAUCUAAAUCCCAUUGCCUUUGGCACAUUCAUUUCACUUAAGCAAGCCAUAGGUCUUGCUCACACUCAAGAGGAGAGGAUUAUAUAAUGGCAUUAAUCCCAGGAAGUGGGAAUCAUAUGAGAAAUUUUUUCUCUCUGGCCUGGAGACUGAUAAUUUUAAAUAGAGUUUAACAAUCUGAACAUAUAGAUAAAUUCCCAAGAUUCUAGGUGAACAGGCAAUUGCCAGAAUAUGUCGUCUGCUACUUUCUCCGUCUUACAAAAUAUCAAAUAUGGAGGACUCCACACAAACCUCCUAUAACUUAUCAAUUACAUUUUAUUUAGUCCUAUAUAAGUUUCAAAAUUUCUAAAAUUACUCAAAGCAAAGAUACAAACCUAUGAGUCAGAUCUUACCCAUGAUGUGAAGUGAGACCUUUAUGAAAAAUCUGUGUAGUGGUAAGCAGGUGAGAGAAUUUUCUAUUUGUCCUAUUUUCCUUUUCCAAUAUCAAUUACAAAUAUGUACCUAGUCUAUUUACUUGUAUAUUUAUUCAUUAUUUAUUUUACUUCUUUCUCUGCUUUCUAGAUCCUCAUCCACAAAGGAUUCUGAGAUAGCUUUUAAAUUAUAAUAAAAUUGUAAAAUUUAAAGAAAGUUGUUUUUAAUAUAAUUUAGAAAUGCUCUUAAUAAGAGUAUGCCCAAAUCUAAAUUAAACAGAAAUUUAUGACAUAUAAGGUAUUACAUUUUGUUUUAAUUUGGCUGAGAAAUUUGGGCUCACUUUACAGAUAAAGUGAAAUAAGGAACAUUGAUUUUUUAAAUAUGAAAAAACUAACAGGAAAGCAAUAAAAGUUUAAAAAUAAUAAAACCACUACAGUAUAUUGACUAUUUGCAUUGUAUUAGGUAGUAUAAGUAAUCUAGAGAUAAUUUAAACUAUAUGGAGGGAUUUGCAUCAGUUAUAUGCAAAUACCAUUUCAUUUUAUCUAAGGGACCUGAGCAUCUGCAGAUUUUAUCUGCAGGGGCUCUGAAACUAAUACCCCAUGGAUAUUGAGAUUGUACACUAGAGAAGCUCAGUCACAUUUAUACCAAUAUACAUGUAAAAGAGUAUUCACAAUAGCAUUGCACAUAAUGUAAAGAUCCAUCUGACUUUUAACAGUAGAAAGGAAAAAUAAAUCAUGAUAAAUUCAUAAAAUUAAAUGUUGCAAUAAAUGAAAAUAAAGGAUCUAGACUGUAGAUAACAAUGUGGAUUUAUCUUGCAUGCAUAAUGUGUAAAAGAGAAUUUUUUUUCAAAUUUAUUUUUCACAUGCAUUUUUCACUAAGGACACCUUGAUGGAAACCAUAGAUGUCUUCAGAUUCUGUCAGAAACUGGUUACUGAAAUAGCCAGCCUUAUGUAGCAUUAUCCUCUAGUGUCUUUAUGGUACAUAAAACCUAACAGUCACCCACCCUGGCUAUCACCACAAUAAAACCUCACAAACUAUAUUUUGAAAAUUUCAACAUACUUAUUUAGAUAACAACUUAUAAAAUUCAUCAGGAAAUGUUGUGAUAUUGCAUUUCCCAUAAACAUAACAAAUAUAACAAGAUGGCAAUUUCUGAACAUGUUCAUGGACUAAAUAUUAACCUGUUUCCAAAAGCACAGUGUGAUUUACAUCCAAUGUUUUGAUUGUUUUGGGUGUUUUCUAUGGAUUUAGAUCAUAUAGUGUCUUUUUAAAGGGGAAUGAUUUAUCAACAAUUUUUUCCUUUAGUAACUUAGGCUUUUUAUUUCUCCUUAAAAUCUUUUUUUUACAGAAGUAACUCCAGUGUGAAUAUAAGCCUAUGCAUACAAAUUCAUUCAAUUACUGGAUUCAAAAAUUGUUUUCAAUCAGUAAGCAUGUUUAAAACUGAAUUAUUAUAUAAAUAUAUGUCCUUGUGGUAAAGUCAAAGUACACUUAAAUCUUAAAAGUACAAAUAAAAGAAAUGUUUAUUUCACUAGGUUUAAUUAAAAAAAUAGAACAGUCUUUGAUGGUGGCCUUCAUUUUGGGAGGGUAAAAAAAAGAUUACAUUUUGUGUGCAUAUGCAUAAUACAUGUUGGGCAUAUAGUAAUUGUUUAAAAAAUAUUUCACAUUCUGAGAUCAGUGUUAAAAUUGGAUGUUGAAAUUUUAAUUAGCAAUGUUCAAUUCAAAAAUUCUUAUAUAAGAUAAUGUUUUUCAUAGUGUAUCUCAAAAUCAGUAUGAUCUUUAGAUAAAGCUGAUGCAGAAUAAACUACUUAGACAUUUUGACAUUAGCAUUCCUAAAGCUUUUUGAUGAAGCAAAAAUAGUGUUAUUAAUUUGCUGGUACAAUUGUAUCCAUUUCUCUAGGGAAUUAUGUUUUAGGCAAUGCAGCAAGAAGAGUAAAAGCAUAAAAUUGAAGAUGACAACAAGAAUGAGUUCAGAGAUAUAAGUAAAAUUCCAAUAAUGUGGAAGGGAAACUGGUUUGUUACUCAACUGAAAUGGAAAACACUUAAACAGAAGUUAUAUUAAGAAGUGAAAUGGUUUACUAAUAGAGGCUAGAGGCUGCAAUUGCUUUUGAGAAUUAAAGCCUUGGGAAGAUCAAAUGUUUGCCUGUAUGUUUUGGACUUCACAGCUUGAGUCAUGAAACAGAUGAAUCCUUUGCUUCAAAAGAUGAUGUUUUGAUUUGACAGUAUACAUAGAGGAGAUUUAUGAUAAAGUGAAGUAGCAA